rnacentral:rRNA from 1 species
UAGGGAAUCUUCGGCAAUGGACGAAAGUCUGACCGAGCAACGCCGCGUGAGUGAAGAAGGUUUUCGGAUCGUAAAACUCUGUUGUUAGAGAAGAACAAGGACGUUAGUAACUGAACGUCCCCUGACGGUAUCUAACCAGAAAGCCACGGCUAACUACGUGCCAGCAGCCGCGGUAAUACGUAGGUUGCAAGCGUUGUCCGGAUUUAUUGGGCGUAAAGCGAGCGCAGGCGGUUUCUUAAGUCUGAUGUGAAAGCCCCCGGCUCAACCGGGGAGGGGCAUUGGAAACUGGGAGACUUGAGUGCAGAAGAGGAGAGUGGAAUUCCAUGUGUAGCGGUGAAAUGCGUAGAUAUAUGGAGGAACACCAGUGGCGAAGGCGGCUCUCUGGUCUGUAACUGACGCUGAGGCUCGAAAGCGUGGGGAGCAAACAGG